rnacentral:rRNA from 1 species
GAGAGGAGCUUGCUCUUCUUGGAUGAGUUGCGAACGGGUGAGUAACGCGUAGGUAACCUGCCUUGUAGCGGGGGAUAACUAUUGGAAACGAUAGCUAAUACCGCAUAACAAUGGGUGACACAUGUCAUUUAUUUGAAAGGGGCAAUUGCUCCACUACAAGAUGGACCUGCGUUGUAUUAGCUAGUAGGUGAGGUAACGGCUCACCUAGGCGACGAUACAUAGCCGACCUGAGAGGGUGAUCGGCCACACUGGGACUGAGACACGGCCCAGACUCCUACGGGAGGCAGCAGUAGGGAAUCUUCGGCAAUGGGGGCAACCCUGACCGAGCAACGCCGCGUGAGUGAAGAAGGUUUUCGGAUCGUAAAGCUCUGUUGUAAGUCAAGAACGAGUGUGAGAGUGGAAAGUUCACACUGUGACGGUAGCUUACCAGAAAGGGACGGCUAACUACGUGCCAGCAGCCGCGGUAAUACGUAGGUCCCGAGCGUUGUCCGGAUUUAUUGGGCGUAAAGCGAGCGCAGGCGGUUUGAUAAGUCUGAAGUUAAAGGCUGUGGCUCAACCAUAGUUCGCUUUGGAAACUGUCAAACUUGAGUGCAGAAGGGGAGAGUGGAAUUCCAUGUGUAGCGGUGAAAUGCGUAGAUAUAUGGAGGAACACCGGUGGCGAAAGCGGCUCUCUGGUCUGUAACUGACGCUGAGGCUCGAAAGCGUGGGGAGCGAACAGGAUUAGAUACCCUGGUAGUCCACGCCGUAAACGAUGAGUGCUAGGUGUUGGAUCCUUUCCGGGAUUCAGUGCCGCAGCUAACGCAUUAAGCACUCCGCCUGGGGAGUACGACCGCAAGGUUGAAACUCAAAGGAAUUGACGGGGGCCCGCACAAGCGGUGGAGCAUGUGGUUUAAUUCGAAGCAACGCGAAGAACCUUACCAGGUCUUGACAUCC